UAGCAGCAAUGGCAAUAUCGAAAACCAAUUCAAGCAGCAUUUUGUUCAAUAAAGAAGCACACCAUUGUCACCUUUAAUUGUUCGAGAACAACACUUCACACAUUUCCUUUAUAACGCACCUACCUGAGCAUGUGGAUGUUACCAGAUAAUGAAAACUCAACAUGCAGGCAAACGGACUUACAACCGAGGCAAGUGAUUACAACAUCCCGAAUUGAAACAACAACAAUUUUUGCUUUAUGCUAAAAGACAGUGAAUAUUUCCAAGCUUUCUUUUGAUCGAGUUACAACCAGCUUUAGAAAUUUGCAACUACAAUCGAUAGCUCUCACACUCGCACUUUGCCAAAUGUCGUCAACACGCAGAUAGACGGGCCAGGUAAUCCUAGUCUAACGAAUUUGGUGUCUACAUCUCUUAGAAACAGGAGCCUUGCAAGAUUUCGCGAAAAAUUUCUCAAAUAGAUCAAGUACAAAUUUUAAUAUU